rnacentral:rRNA from 1 species
CCUACGGGGGGCAACAGUGGGGAAUUUUGCGCAAUGCUCGUAAGAGUGACGCAGCGACGCCGCGUGAAUGACGAAGGCCUUCGGGUCGUAAAGUUCUUUCGACAGGGAAGAAAAUGCCUAUAAGUAACUGUGUAUGUAUUGACGGUACCUGUAUAAGCAGCCCCGGCUAACUCCGUGCCAGCAGCCGCGGUAAUACGGAGGGGGCGAGCGUUGUUCGGAGGGACUGGGCGUAAAGAGCACGUAGGCGGUGUUGUAAGUCAUUAGUCAAAGACUAGAGCUCAACUUUAGUAAGGCUAGUGAUACUAUAAUACUAGAGUAUCAGAGAGGAUUGCAGAAUUCCUGGUGUAGCGGUGAAAUGCGUAGAUAUCAGGAGGAAUACCGUUAGCGAAGGCGGCAAUCUGGCUGGAAACUGACGCUGAGGUGCGAAAGCGUGGGUAGCAAACAGGAUUAGAUACCCCUGUAGUC